AGGUAUCUGAAGACCUGUUGAAGAUAAUAAUAAACUCUUUUGCUGCUGAGUAUCAGAGAAAUCCCAGGGGUUCCUGAAUUUGCCACAGUGUUUGCACACUGACAGUUUAGAAGAACAGCAAGUAUCUUCAACCAUUUAUUUAGAAAUAAAAUUGGCUAUAGACUGAGUAAUGCUGCUGAGAAUUGGGAUCCAGUUAUGAGGCGUAGCAAAAGAGACUGACAAGAACAAUUUACUGAAUGGGAUCUUGGAGGGAAGAUGUGGUGCUGCAGUGAUAACUUGUACCAUACAAUACAAUUUUCAUCCUAAGAUGCUUCCUCUGGAGGAGAGCAGUUUGAAUACUCUGGAAGGCUCAUAAUUUAAAAGUUCCUGUAGUUAAAGACAACUUGCAGAAAGCUAUAGAGAGAGUCUAGUUUUAAACUCAGCUUGAAGGCUGAAGCCUCAAAAUGCAGAGCCUUGCUGAGAGAGCACAGUGCAGCUGUAUGGGAGCCCUGUGUUUUGUCUACAGCCCUAUCAGGGAGCUGGUGAGGAAGGACAGCUUCUGCUCCAUGGAAGUGCACAGGCAGAGGUUUGCAUCCCUCAGUGAUGGGCUGUGUGGCCUGUCUAGAGCACAAAGCAGUGGGAAGGAGGAGGAGGAUGCUGAAAACUGAGGCAGAGCAAGUUGUUUUGUUGCUAGGAGCUGGAUGGUGCUGUUCCCAUGGCCAGCUCACAGGAGAGUGGAGAAGUAAAGGCACAGGAAAGUGUGAACCACCUGUGAGCACCUCAGAAGAGGGAGAACAGGCUGCAGAGGAGGAAGAGGCAGGUUUUGCCUGACUGUGAAUAAGAAUACUCACUGCCCAUCUCUAAACUUCUCAGUAACUUCUCAGGUGUCCCUGGACUCUUGUGUAACCAGGCUUGGAAGAUGCUGUGCUUGCUUUCAAAGCUGUUUUUGACAUUCUGCUUCAGCCCUGCUGAACUUUAGAGCUCUUCUUUCCCCAAACAUUGCCCCCCUCUCGCAUAUCCACUCUGUGCAGUGAACAGACUUGAGUUCUCACAGUGUGUUGCAGACACCCAGCUGAGGCAAUGCUUGUUUUGAAAUAAACCCAGAUAUCUACCACUGUUCUAAUUGAAAUAACCUGUUUGUUCCAAGCUUUAAGUUAGCUGAUAGGGAUUUCCCAGUGCCUGCCUCUGCUGUGCUUGUUGCCAAGGAGGGUGUCCCUGGAUUCUGCAUUUCCAGAGUUCAGUCAUUCAACAAACUGUGCAUGAAAGAAAGAUGGGCUCUUCCUGAGGUGAUUUAGCCAUCCUUUGUAAAGCAUCUGUUAUAGUGUGGGGAUUUACUUUCUCCUCUGGCUGUAGGUAGGUACCUGUGUCUGAGCACAGCACAGAGGUGAGAAUGAGACUUGGGGCACAGUAGGACCUGUUCCUGCUAUGUACAGCAAGGACUGGGAAUGAUUAGCAUGAAACUGGAUUUUGUGUUACUCUAAGGCAGUAAUGCAGCACAGAAUUGACUAGCACAUAAUUUCAUUCUUUCCCAUCCCUUAAAUAAUAAGAGAGCUUCAAUCCAGACUUGAAGGAGGCAACUGCUCCGGUGUGGUCAUAGGAAAAUGUCAGUGCUAUGAUUGGCCUUUG